AGUUCAACCCUCAUCCUAAGGCUGGUGAAUGCUGCAUUUGCUAUGUAAUCUUGCAUUUGGAACCUGGUGUGCUUCAAAAACUGUAAGCGUGUAAGAUUACAUUGUGACAAACAAAUCUGUUCAUCAUUGGGAUGAUCCACGUUUUUUUGACACUUGCUGAUUUAAGGCGGAGAGGUUCGACUUUAAGUGUGACUCUGUGAGUAAUACUCUGCUUGGCAUAUGUCAAUUAUCUUCAUUAAAUGUGCUCUCUGUUGUUGUAUGUUGAAGUAAUGGUAGUAUGAUACAUGUGAGUUGUCUUGAGCAUCAUAUUAGAGAGCAGUUGAACAAAAUAGCUCUAAUCCUCUUAAGGUGCUCUUAGGUUAUGGAACUUGAUGCACAUACAUACGAUAGAACAUUUUUUCUGUUUUA